CAAAACUCUCCGGUUUGCAUGCUCAAUUGCUAUUGUGCAUGGAAGUUUUUUCACUAAAUCAUCAAUGUUCCCAUUGUAUAGAUGGGCUGGGAUCUCAAAUUCACUGAAAUCGCUGCAAAGCAGCUGCAGGCGUUCUCCUUCUUCUGAGACCCCAACAACCUCUACUUCCUCAGUUUCAUGUCUUCUCUCAGCAACCUGCAUUGAACUGAAGUCAAGGAUUGGGACCUGUUGUCCCUGCACCUCUGUCAUCCUCAGUGCUUGGAUCUGCCAAAUUGGAGCACAGCAGUCAUGGGAGGAAGUCUUAUGCUGUGUUGACACCAGACGCGGAACUAGGGCUGUGACGGUAACGGAUUUUCUGUUACCGCGGUGAUGAAGCAAGAAAUCAUGCGGUUGUAGCGCCGUAUCUGGCCGUGUCGGAUCUGACGGAUCUUCGAGGGUUGAAGGCACUGAGGGGUGACUCCG